UUGUUGUCAAUGUCAAACAUUUUGAAUGCCACUGAAAAGCUGGACUCUGGUAUGCUGAGUAGGGUAACAAAAAAGAUGUACCUGCAAGUUAUUGGCAACAAAAUGCUUUGUUUUACAAAAUAGUGAACUUAAAUGGUGAAAGAAUAAGGGAUGGAUUGCUCAACUCUGCAAAAGAGAUGAGGCCAUCACUGUUGAUGUCGAAGAGCAUGAAGAAUUCUGAAGGAACACAAUAUAAUUCUCCAUGAAUUCUUUCU